rnacentral:rRNA from 1 species
AACGAACGCUGGCGGCGUGGAUUAGGCAUGCAAGUCGAACGCGAAAGAGGGAGCAAUCCCUCAAGUAGAGUGGCGAACGGGUGAGUAACGCGUGAAGAACCUGCCUUCAACAGGGGGAUA